GAGAAGUUUGGCUAAGCAUCAGGUUCAUUAACCUUUGGGUGACUUUUUCUCAAUAGAUACAUGGCUGUUGCAGAAGCAGCUUCAGGAAAAGAAUAUUGCUUUUCAGUUGGCCUCUUGCCUUGACUGAUGAGAUGUUAACAGCUCCUAAGAAGAAGAAAAUCCAUAUGCCAAAGACGACCGUGGGCUCAAUUUCCUACAGAGGAAGAGUGUUGGAUGAAGCAUGGAAGCAGGUUUAAAUGGGGCUAAUAAAAGAAGUCUCCACAGUUGUGCACAAAUAGUAUAAGAUGGGGUGCAAAACCUGUGCUCCCCCAGCUCUGGUUCAGUGACAAGAGGACAAUCACACAGGUGACAGAAGCGUGCCAGCAUGAUAUGAAGGAACAUUGGCUCUGGUCUACCGAGAGCUUUGUAAAUGCCUAGUGAUCUGCUUAGGGCAAGUCAUGUGCAAGCACCUGAGAACUUGCUACGCUUCAGGCAUCGGAACACAUCAAGUUCACUGCUGAACAUGGAUUUCAUCGACCAAUCAUUAUACUCCCUAAGUCAUGAGGUGAACAACUUUCAAAGACAUGAAGAAAACCCUGUAUAUAGGGGAAGAAAAGACUGGACUGUGCAGGGGAGAGGAAGCAUCCAAACGUUAAUGGCUAUUGAAACAUCCACUGGGACACAAGAACUCAGGGAGUUGACUGGGAGAUGCUCACACUUUGCAAGGUUAGGGGAAUUGACAGUCCUGCCCCCAAAGCAGCUGUUUCCUGCAAUGUUAACCGAAUCAUCGGAACCUCCCAGUUUUGGGGAGACAGGUUGGAAAGUUUGGAGGAAAGAUCUUUCUGCUGACAUCUCAGGCGCUUUCACUCUGGACUGCAGCUACAUCACUGACAAUUUUACUUCCACAGUUCUUGUGAUGGUCCCUGUUGGUAAGCACAAGUGAGUAAAAUCCCUUACUCCCUCUUUAUUUUAUUACUAUUCAAAUGAAUCAGGGACCUGAAAGUUACCUCUCAG
rnacentral:lncRNA from 1 species